GUGCCAGCAGCCGCGGUAAUACGUAGGUGGCAAGCGUUGUCCGGAAUUAUUGGGCGUAAAGGGCGCGCAGGCGGUUUUCUAAGUCUGAUGUGAAAUCUUGCAGCUUAACUGCAAGCGGUCAUUGGAAACUGGGGAACUUGAGUACAGAAGAGGAGAGUGGAAUUCCACGUGUAGCGGUGAAAUGCGUAGAUAUGUGGAGGAACACCAGUGGCGAAGGCGGCUCUCUGGUCUGUGACUGACGCUGAGGUGCGAAAGCGUGGGUAGCGAACAGGAUUAGAUACCCUGGUAGUCCACGCCGUAAACGAUGAGUGCUAGGUGUUGGGGGGUCCACCCCUCAGUGCUGGAGCAAACGCAUUAAGCACUCCGCCUGGGGAGUACGGCCGCAAGGCUGAA
rnacentral:rRNA from 1 species